ACUCAAAUGAAUAGACGGGGGCCCGCACAAGCAGUGGAGCAUGUGGUUUAAUUCGACGGUAAGCGAAGAACCUUACCGAGGCUUGACAUCCUGGGAAGGUCCUAGAAAUAGGACUGUGCCUUCGGGAACCCAGUGACAGGUGUUGCAUGGCCGUCGAAAGCUCGUGCCGUGAGGUGUUCGGUUAAGUCCGGCAACGAGCGCAACCCUUGUGAUUUGUUGAAUUUUUCAAAUCAGACUGCCCUGGAAACAGGGAGGAAGGUGGGGUAGACGUCAGGUCAGCAUGGCCCUUAUGCCUCGGGCUACACACGUGCUACAAUGGCCGGUACAACGGGUUUGCCAAGCCGCGAGGCGGAGCUAAUCCCAUCAAAACCGGUCUCAGUUCGGAUUGAAGGCUGCAACUCGCCUUCAUGAAGCUGGAAUUGCUAGUAACCGUAGGUCAGCACACCACGGUGAAUACGUUCUCGGGCCUUGUACACACCGCCCGU
rnacentral:rRNA from 1 species